rnacentral:rRNA from 1 species
UACGAGGGGGGCAAGCGUUGUUCGGAAUUAUUGGGCGUAAAGGGCGCGUAGGCGGUGCGGUAAGUCUGAUGUGAAAUCUCCGGGCUCAACUCGGAGUCUGCAUCAGAAACUGCCGUGCUUGAGUGUGGGAGAGGUGAGUGGAAUUCCCGGUGUAGCGGUGAGAUGCGUAGAUAUCGGGAGGAACACCUGUGGCGAAAGCGGCUCACUGGACCACAACUGACGCUGAGGCGCGAAAGCUAGGGGAGCAAACAGG